rnacentral:rRNA from 1 species
AGAGUUUGAUCCUGGCUCAGGACGAACGCUGGCGGCGUGCCUAACACAUGCAAGUCGAGCGGGAACCUCAGGAGGGGUAACCCUUCUGAGGGGAGAGCGGCGAACGGGUGAGUAACACGUGGGCAACCUGCCCCGGACACCGGGAUAACCCAGGGAAACCUGAGCUAAUACCGGAUACUCCGGCGUGAUCGCAUGGUCGCGCCGGGAAAGCUCCGACGGUCCGGGAUGGGCCCGCGGCCUAUCAGCUUGUUGGUGGGGUAACGGCCCACCAAGGCGACGACGGGUAGCUGGUCUGAGAGGACGGCCAGCCACACUGGGACUGAGACACGGCCCAGACUCCUACGGGAGGCAGCAGUGGGGGAUCUUGCGCUAAUGCGCGAAAGGGUGACCCAGCGACGCCGCGUGGAGGGAUGAAAGGCCCUUCGGGUUUGUAAACCCCUUUCGGCAGGGACGAAGGGAAACUGACGGUACCUGGCAGAAGAAGUCCCGGCUAACUACGUUGCCAGCAGCCGCGGUA